rnacentral:lncRNA from 1 species
UGCGUAUGCUGCUGAUUGAGCAGUUGCUGGGUUUCGUCUACUUUAGACGAGAGAAGAUUGUUAUGUUCUUGGAGUUUAGCCAUGUCCUACCGAAGAGAAGUGAUUUGGGUUAGAAGCUCCGCUUCGGCAAUGGUUUGAAUCAUGGGUGAAUUACCGAAAGGAGUGCAAGGGGGCAGUGUGGGCUUGCUCUGCUUUUCCUUCCGAAUGGUAAUCCUUC